UGGGGAAUAUUGGACAAUGGGCGCAAGCCUGAUCCAGCCAUGCCGCGUGAGUGAUGAAGGCCCUAGGGUUGUAAAGCUCUUUCACCGGUGAAGAUAAUGACGGUAACCGGAGAAGAAGCCCCGGCUAACUCCGUGCCAGCAGCCGCGGUAAUACGAAGGGGGCUAGCGUUGUUCGGAUUUACUGGGCGUAAAGCGCACGUAGGCGGACUAUUAAGUCAGGGGUGAAAUCCCGGGGCUCAACCCCGGAACUGCCUUUGAUACUGGUAGUCUUGAGUUCGAGAGAGGUGAGUGGAAUUCCGAGUGUAGAGGUGAAAUUCGUAGAUAUUCGGAGGAACACCAGUGGCGAAGGCGGCUCACUGGCUCGAUACUGACGCUGAGGUGCGAAAGCGUGGGGAGCAAACAGG
rnacentral:rRNA from 1 species